CACAGGAGAUGGAAGCCAGCAGGACAGGAUCUAGGAGAUCCUGGGCACAGGAAGAGGCUGUUUGGUGUGGGAACUUGAAGACUGGAAGGACAUUUCCUAGCCGAGCAGGGGACUUUCAGGAUUGAGAGCUAGAAGUUCCUAUAGACAUUUCUCUUUUGUUUUCCAAGCAAAUGUAAUAGUAACUUUUCUGAGUAUUGGGGGCUGUGACCCCAGGAAGGGGUGGAGUUGCCAGAUGGAAACCAAAGAUGUGUGGAUCCCCUUGGAGGUGUGGGUACCAGUGAGCCCCGCUCCCCGUGAUCCCCAGCAAGGCUUGCUGGGAGCCUGGGAGGUCUCUAGCUUUUGGGAGUGGAAUUUUGGUGAACCCAGACUGUAAGGGGGUCAUGGGAAUAGCUCCUCCAUUAAUUGGAAGGAUAUGAGGGAGUCCCUAGGGGUGAGGGAUGGGGAAGGCUAAGAGGGUUGUCUGGGUAUUGGUAAUGGGGCCUCAGAAGAAAGGCUGUGAGAAGCAGACAUGAGGGUGUGGGUGUGGUAACAAAGGACGCUGGCAUUGUCAAGAGAUGGCAGAGUCUGGGGUUUGGCCCUAGAGACCUCUGGGAUACUUGCUGUGUGGCUCUGGCCAAGAGGACCGCCGCAGAGCCAGAUGCAGAGACACACAGGUCACCUUUGGGCUCACAGUACUUGAGACCUGAGAUAGGGAAACUGAGGCGAGGAGUGAAAUUUUGUGGGAGAGCCCUUCCUGGAAGCCAGGCUUGUAACUGAGAACCUUCACAGCUUCUCUGGACACUCAUCUUCCCAGCAGCUCUCCUCAGCCUACAGGCCACUUCUGGACACAAUGGAUGCUCAUGGCUCUUCUUGUGCCAGCUGGCCAUGCUCCUCGAUAAGGACACCAGCCAGGUCCUCCCUGCUGGCCUUCCCCCAGCGCCUGGACCUAUACUUGUAUGCUCUGUAGCUGGCAACCUUGGGCACAGCCCCACAAGGUCUCAGAGAGGACAAAGAGGACACUUCAACCAUAAAGCACUGGGCCCCAGGGCUGCACACCAGCUCCACUGAUGAUGAAAAGCUCACAGCCGAGUAUCCACUAAGCAAGGACAAGAUGGAAAGCCAGCCUGAAACAGCUGGCCACGGGGCCCCCUGUCCAUCCCUGACUCCUGGAAACAGCUCCACUCCAACCUCCCAGCUGAACAGAAAGAGCCUUAGCCCCCUCAGCAUUCUGCCCCAGCCCUCCUGUCCCCAUCUCCAAGGAGCUCCCAUUCCACUUCCUCCCCUUCUACCCCAGGUACCCACUUCUCCUGCCUCUGCCUUACCUGUUCUCCUAUGGGGCCCUACCUUCUGUCCAGUGUCCCCACCUCUUCAUACUGCCCCAAGACAUUACCUACCCCACCAUGGCUGCACCCAGCUUGCUGAUGACAGCCGAUGAGCCUGGGCACCACAGUGUUCCAGGGCAGACCCUGCUUUGCAACCCUGGGCCCUUCCAAGCCUCUGGCCAUGCCAUGCCCUCCCGGACCCAGGAUCCAUCCUUGGGAAUGGAGUGGGCUGGCAUGACAGCUCCAGGGAAGCGGGCCUCAAUGGGAUCCCGGGCAGGCACCUCGCCCUCCCCUACCCUCUGAAGAAAGAAAACGGCAAAAUCCUGUAUGAGUGCAACAUGUGCAGCAAGAGCUUUGGACAGUUCUCCAACCUUAAGGUCCACCUGCGCGUGCACAGUGGGGAGCGGCCGUUCCAGUGUGCCCUGUGCCAGAAGAGCUUCACCCAGUUCGCCCACCUUCAGAAGCACCACUUGGUGCACACUGGGGAGCGGCCCCACAAGUGCCGGACGUGCCAGAAGUGCUUCAGCAGUUCCAGCAACCUCAAGACUCACCUGUGCCUGCACGUCCAGUGCAGUGUCUGCCCAAAUCACUUCACCCAGCUUGUCCAUUGGAAGCUGCACCAACAGCUCCACACUCCACAACCCGGCGGCCUGGCUCACCCCCACCUGCCCCUGGGCUCUCUUCCCUGCCUUGCCCAAUGGCACCAGCGAGCAUUGGAUCUUGUUGCGGAGCCCUCAGAGAAACAGAUGGGUUGGGACAUGGACAGGGUCAAGGUGUCCUUGGUAUCCCAGGGAAAGCCAGGGCAGCCAGCCUGAGCCAACACUGCUCAGAGGAGAGGGCAAGGGCAGAGCAAUUAAAGGAUUUUCAAAAUGAUGAGUUGAGGCUUCCUGUGCUUCCACAGUGAAGGGGUCACCGUGUAAUUGCCAGACCUCACACUUUACCUGAGAGCAGGUCAGAGGAC
ensembl:lncRNA